AAGCCAGAAUCAUGGUUGCCCUGAGCAAAGCUGUUCUCCGGGCCAUUUCUUCUCAGGAAGUAGGGACAGGGCUACCUGCUGCUGUCCUCAGGAAGCUGGUAAGAGGACCAAACCAGGGGUGUCAAUUCUGGGGUGACACAGAACAUCAUGGCUUUAUAAUGUCUCCCAACAAAGGACCACACUCCAUCCCACAAGAACAUCCACUGCCAUUGGAGCCAGAGGGCCCACUCCACACAGCCUUGGCCUAGAGGAGAGCUGACCAUCUCCAGAAUCGGUCCCACCAUGAUGAUGAGGAUGUACUGGGUAGGAUAAGGGUCCCUCACUGAACCUGGAGCCUGCCAAUCAGCUAGACCGGGUGGUGAGCAAGUCCCAGGUUUCCUCCUGCCGCCGUCUCCAGUGCUGGGCUUACAGGAGCACGCCACCACCUCUAUGGGCUUACAGGAGCACGCCACCACCUCUAUGGGCUUACAGGAGCACGCCACCACCUCUAUGGGCUUACAGGAACACGCCACCACCUCUAUGGGCUUACAGGAACACGCCACCACCUCUAGCUCUUCCAUUUUGGUGCUGGGGAUCAGUGACCACCUCCUGGCCCCUAUACUUCACUUCUUAAUGAUACAGUAGUCGCCACAUCACUAUGUUGUGGACCAAGCUGCCCACAUACAGGGGCAAACCCCAGGGGCGCGGGGGAGGACAAAUCCUAUCUGAAGAACAAAAGCCAACUUCAGGAAUUCAAAGCAAGAGCUAAACGUCAAGAAACUCACGGUGACCUCGCCAAGCCGGUCUGUUCCCUCUCCAUGGAGACACACACCUCCAAGGGCUCACCCUACUAGACCUCCUCUUCCAGGCAGGCGUACAUCCCCCCAAUUUGUUACUCAGGGUGCUCUUCCCAGAAUGCUAUGUGAGCCUGUAUGUGGUGUCUCCGAUAUUAAUAGCACCGAGUGUCAGAAGCUAUGACAGCGGUAAAGGUGGGCAUGGACUUAGGGGGCCCCCUCUUUUCUGGGAGGCAACGCUCCCCCAUGCAAAGAGAAAAUAAACACAGCCCUGGUAGAGCACAAACGCCAAUAACUGUGAGAUUUUGAUUAAAUAAUAGAUAUGUGUUCAGAAGCGCUUCUGUAUAGUAUGUGAUUAAGAAAGAUAAGUAGACAUUCCUGCAGGCCUAAUGAUAAUAAUUACCGCCACGCAUCAAGCGCAGAAUAUGACACCAGAAAGGCCAUCAUUAACCUUUCCCAGGGUUAUUUUUUGGGGUGUAUUUUUGAC